rnacentral:rRNA from 1 species
CCUACGGGAGGCAGCAGUGAGGAAUAUUGGGCAAUGGGCGCGAGCCUGAACCAGCCAAGUAGCGUGAAGGAAGACUGCCCUACGGGUUGUAAACUUCGUUUAUAAAGGAAUAAAGUGAGGCGCGUGUGCCUUUUUGCAUGUACUUUAUGAAUCAGGAUCGGCUAACUCCGUGCCAGCAGCCGCGGUAAUACGGAGGAUCCGAGCGUUAUCCGGAUUUAUUGGGUUUAAAGGGAGCGUAGAUGGGUUGUUAAGUCAGUUGUGAAAGUUUGCGGCUCAACCGUAAAAUUGCAAUUGAUACUGGGCGUCUUGAGUGCAGUUGAGGUAGGUGGAAUUCGUGGUGUAGCGGUGAAAUGCGUAGAUA